GAGCGUCCGGGACAAGCGCUCUGUUUUGAAUCUUUGGCAUCUUCAGGGAUGGAUGGAAUCCUACAACUGAGGGAGACUGCGGUCUUGGGCGUGAGCAAGUGAGGAAAAGCGUGCUGGAGCGACCAGCAGCAAACCUCCUCAGAGAGGUGACGCCAGCUUCUUGGUUUUCACCUUAGGUCUGUUCCUCCAAGCCGGGGUGCCUUUCCCUCAUUUACGCUCCUGAGGGAUGCUCUGCUUGUAACCUUCCGCAGGGUUCCCGCGCGCGCUCCACACCUUUCCCAGUUGUGGUUUACACCCCACUGACUUCUCUCAUCACAUCCGUGUCUCCAUCACCAUCAGAUACUUUUCUCAGUGCGUCUGAAAAUGAUGGGAAAGGCUCUCAAGCAGCCUAACGAGCACACUACCACCAGCACCCUUCACAAACUGAGCCCAGAACUUUCUUGAAGAAAGGAUGCUGCUGGUCUCCCAGACCUUCCUGCUCAAAACCAUAAGUUGGAAACACUCUGCAACGUGCUGCAAAAUUAAUCUACCUACGGCUCUGCUGGCACACCCAGAUGUCCUGAAACUUUCCCGAGUGUGUUCGGAGCAGCCACUUGGAAUCAUCCAGAGUCUGCCUUCUACAUGAGACCUGUCUGUCUCACCUGUACUUGGGAUGAAGUCUCCAUAUGCCAGAUAUAGGACUCCCUGAACCAUGUCCUGCGAGGCCAGUCUAGUAGAGUUGGUCAUAAAGAAUGGCUGUGACCAAGCCUUGUAUGGUCACUGUCCUCAUUCCAAAGAUGCAUGCCCAGUGGAAGGAAUGGGGCACAGCAGGGCCCACCCAGUCUGCUCAGUGACAUCUCCAUAUGAAACCUCAAGGUACUGGAUUGGGGAAGCUUCCAGACAGCUGACCUCAGGAAGGUUCCUGGAGGGUGGAGGGGCACCUGAAGAGCCCAUGCAAGCUCUGUACCUAAGCCCCAUGAGGAAGUGCUUCCAUGAAUUCUCGGAGUCCCUCAAGCAAAUGAAUCAAAGCCAAAGGGCUUAUGGGUACCACGAUUCAUUGCCAGUCAGAAACAGAAAUGCAACAGCCAGGGGCUUGUGAUUGGCAUCUGCUAUGGGAGGAGCUGAGCCUUCCAUCUAUAGCGUGGCCUCUUCCUUCAAGGCAGAGAGUGUCAGAUCUGAACUGGGUCAGAGGACACUUCGCCAGUCUGUCGUUUGCUACCACUGGUGCUUUCUGAAAGGGAGAAGUACUCACACCUUCUGAGCUUGCAGGACUCUUCUGUGUGGUUGUGGUGUGGAAGCGGAGGAGGCAGGCGGGAAGCAGGGGAAGGCAGAAUGGUUUUGUUUAUAUGACAGGUAGGUAGACGAUGUGAGCACUGUGUGUUUAUAUGGCAUGUAUGUGUACACCGUGAAUUAUAAAAACACUGAUGAAGGCCAUUAAACUAGACUAAAAAGAAUGGACCAUGGUCAUAGUUGGGGAAAAUGAAAACUAUUAAAAUACCUAUACUACGGGCUAGAGAGAUGGCUCAGCAGUUAAGAGCACUGACUGCUCUUCCAGAGGUCCUGAGUUCAAAUUCUCAACAACUACAUGGUAGCUCACAACCAUCUGUAAUGGGAUCCCAUGCCCUCUUCUAGUGUCUGAAGACAGCGAGAGUGUACUCAUACAUAAGAUAAAUAAAUCAUUUUUUAAAAAAAACUACAGUACUCAUUACAGUUUGAACCUUGAAUUUCCCCAAAGGCCUGUGUGUUGAAGGCUUGGAUUUCAGGGUAUCACUGGGAGGUGGCUGAACCUCUGUGAAGUGAGGCCUUAUGGGUGGAAGACCCUUGAAGGGGAUUCUGUGGACACUGGUUCCUUUUCGGUUCUUUUGCUCUUGGGCUCUUGGCAUGAGCAGUUUCAUUCCACCAUAUACUCCUGCCACAACGUACUGCUUGGUAUAGGCCCAGAGCAGUGGAGCCAAUUGAUAUUAGAUUAAUAUCUUAAAAAUAAGGACCCCCGAAUACACUUCUCCAUAACUCCGUCAUCUUGGAGGUUUCAUUAUUGCAGGAAAAAAAUGUUCACAUUACUCAAAGACAGUCUAAAAGUUGAAUGCAACCCCUAUAAAAAUUGAAUGGCCUUUUCUCACAUCACUAGAAGGUCAAUCCUCAGAUUCAUAUGGAAGGCCUGUGUAGUGACAUCAACCUUGGACAAAAAGAAUAGAACUAAAUUUAAGUUUUAUACUCACUGAUUCCAAAUUAUAUUACAAGACAUAUGUAAGUGGAAUAGAAUGGAGAGCCCAGAAAUAAACCUGUAACUUACUAAACAACUCACUUUCAGCAGGCGUACCAGGAAUGCCCGGGGGCUUGGGGGGGGGGGGGAGGAUGGUACUUUAGUUCAUAGCAGAGCAACACAGAGUAUACACAUGCAAACGAAUAAAAACAAGUGUUCCUACCACACACAAAACUUAGCAUGGAUUAAAAACUUAAACAUAAGACCUGAAGCCACAAAAGUCCAAGAAAAUUUACGAUAAAAUUUCUCUGUCUUUGGUUAGCUGCAACUUAAGGAACUUAUAUUACUUAAAAGGGAGAGAGGGAGAAAAGGAGAGAAAGAGACAGAGACACCUGUCUUGGAAAAUCAAGAAAGUAACUAAAUAGACAUUUCAUC
rnacentral:lncRNA from 1 species